rnacentral:rRNA from 2 species
UGCAGAAUCCCGUGAACCAUCGAGUCUUUGAACGCAAGUUGCGCCCGAAGCCAAUAGGCCGAGGGCACGUCUGCCUGGGUGUCA